AGUGGAAUUACUGAGUCAUAUGGUAAGGCUAUGUUUAAUGUUUUAAGAAAUUGCCAAACUGUUUUCCAAAGUGGCUGUGCCAUUUUACAUUCCCACCAGCAAU
rnacentral:pre_miRNA from 1 species